UGGCAUGUUUAAUCAAUGUUAUGUCCUUUUAUUAUACAGUGUGUAGAAUAAUCAAAGCAGUUUGCCGCCGAUUAUGCAACUUAAUCCCAAUUCCUAUCAUCCGUAACCUAUGUCUUUCCAUCUGCAAUUUUGUAAGUACAUAUUUGACGCUUGUAACUCAUUUUCUACGAAGAAUAAAAUAUGAAAGUUUACGUCCAUAUAAAUAUUUAAAAGUAAAUCCAGUACGCUAUCUUAAUUUUUAAAUAGGUAUAAUUUCUGCAUUCAUCAUUCCACUAUAGACUUACUAGGCUUUGACGUCAGUAGCCUGUAGCAAACUAAAUUUCUAAAGGGAGCAGGACAACGUGACGGCGACCGCUGUUAAAACAAUGAAAUUCAGUUUCUUGUUUCAGUCGUUCCGGACCAUCUCAACAUUGUUUUGUCUUUAGGUUGACAAAUUUCCAAAUAGAGCCGCCUGUACAACCGCCUGCAAGAGGAUACCUUUUGCACGCGUGCAAAGGAUAUGCAUUAGAGCGUGCAAAAUUGUAAGUAAAGAGGGUUGUACAGUAUAUCAACCAUGCAGGGACUCUGUCUGGCACAGUUUGCGUGAAGGUCGGAAAGAAGAGAACCAGUGUGAUACGUUCAACAUCAGAGAAAAAUUUCAUACUUCCAUAUAAUUCUGUUUAUAAUCUCUAACGGUCCAGUUGUGUCAGUGUAUUCCCAACGAAUGGCCUUCACUUGAAACAGAUUUAUAACUGAUUAACGUUCUCAAAUAUCGUAUCUUUAUUGUGGGAUGCAGGCAAAUGUUACAAUACUGGUUUCAAAAUUCGAAUUCCUGGAGUGGGGUUCUUCUAGGGAAAUCCGUUUGUCCGCAUUUCUCGUGUUCCAUUCUCUCGUGAAGUCUUUAUAUUUUGAUUAACGCUUGAAAAACUUGUUCCGAUGGCCAAAAUGCAAAAUUUAGAGGAAUCAACUUUUCUUUAACAUUCAAUUUACACUAACAUAGAAAGAUUAAAUCAUAACCCAUUUCUUUCUCUUUCUCUAGUGCCUCCGUAACCGUUGAUUGUUACUCCAAAACCAAUUUUCCUUUUUUUUUAUCUCAAAUGUAUUUUUAAUUAACUAGUUUUGAAUUAAGAAAUGAAAUAUUUUCUUAAUAGCAAUUUGUGUAUGUACAAUUACAUCAUCUCUUGAGAUUUGUAUAUAGUCAUUCAUUUUAUGGAAAUAAAAAUUCA
rnacentral:lncRNA from 1 species